AGUGAACGCUGGCGGUAGGCCUAACACAUGCAAGUCGAACGGCAGCACAGUAAGAGCUUGCUCUUACGGGUGGCGAGUGGCGGACGGGUGAGGAAUACAUCGGAAUCUACUUUUUCGUGGGGGAUAACGUAGGGAAACUUACGCUAAUACCGCAUACGACCUACGGGUGAAAGCAGGGGAUCUUCGGACCUUGCGCGAUUGAAUUAGCCGAUGUCGGAUUAGCUAGUUGGCGGGGUAAAGGCCCACCAAGGCGACGAUCCGUAGCUGGUCUGAGAGGAUGGUCAGCCACACUGGAACUGAGACACGGUCCAGACUCCUACGGGAGGCAGCAGUGGGGAAUAUUGGACAAAGGGCGCAAGCCUGAUCCAGCCAUACCGCGUGGGUGAAGAAGGCCUUCGGGUUGUAAAGCCCUUUUGUUGGGAAAGAAAAGCAGCAGGUUAAUACCCCGCUGUUCUGACGGUACCCAAAGAAUAAGCGCCGGCUAACUUCGUG
rnacentral:rRNA from 1 species